GUUGUGGGGAGCGCGAAGGUGUUUUGUGAGUCGGAGACACUGUGUCGCCAACGACAAUGGAGGUCUAGUGAUUGGGGGUCUUAAGAUAGAAUUCACGAAGGCAAAGUCUGUGGUGCAAUGCUGUAACGGAGGGUCCAUGAAUCGAAAUAAAUCUAUUCAUAUUGUAA